UACGUAGGGCGCGAGCGUUGUCCGGAAUUAUUGGGCGUAAAGAGCUCGUAGGCGGCUUGUCGCGUCGGAUGUGAAAGCCCGGGGCUUAACUCCGGGUCUGCAUUCGAUACGGGCAGGCUAGAGUUCGGUAGGGGAGAUCGGAAUUCCUGGUGUAGCGGUGAAAUGCGCAGAUAUCAGGAGGAACACCGGUGGCGAAGGCGGAUCUCUGGGCCGAUACUGACGCUGAGGAGCGAAAGCGUGGGUAGCAAACGGG
rnacentral:rRNA from 1 species